rnacentral:rRNA from 1 species
CCGCGGUAAUUCCAGCUCCAAUAGCGUAUACUAAAGUUGUUGCGGUUAAAAAGCUCGUAGUUGGAUCUUGGAAUGUGUUCAAGCGGGUCAGCUUCUGGCUGUGCGCUGCUUGACGUGUUCUUCUAUUUGGUUUUGGUGCGGUGCGCUUAACUGCGUGUCGCUCCCGGCCGAAACGUUUACCUUGAAAAAAUUAGAGUGUUCAAAGCAGACCUGUUUGAGUCUGAAUAUUCGUGCAUGGAAUAAUGAAAUAUGAAUUCGGUUCUAUUUUGUUGGUUUUCGGAACUCGAGUUAAUGAUCAAGAGGGACAGACGGGGGCAUUCGUACUCUGCCGUUAGAGGUGAAAUUCUUGGAUCGGCGGAAGACGCGCAACUGCGAAAGCAUUUGCCAAGAAUGUUUUCUUUAAUCAAGAACGAUAGUCGGAGGUUCGAAGACGAUCAGAUACCGUCCUAGUUUCGACUGUAAACUAUGCCAGCUAACGAUCAGACAGAGUUCUCUACGACUUGUCUGGCGGUUUCCGGGAAACCAAAGCGUUUGGGUUCCGGGGGAAGUAUGGUUGCAAAGCUGAAACUUAAAGGAAUUGACGGAAGGGCACCACCAGGAGUGGAGCCUGCGGCUUAAUUUGACUCAACACGGGGAAACUCACCCGGCCCGGACACAGUGAGGAUUGACAGAUUGAGAGUUCUUUCUUGAUUCUGUGGGUGGUGGUGCAUGGCCGUUUUUAGUUGGUGGAGCGAUUUGUUUGGUUAAUUCCGAUAACGAACGAGACUCUGGCAUGUUAAAUAGUCGCGGAAGUGCGUAUGCACUUGCCGAAUUGACUUCUUAGAGGGACUAGUGAUUUUAAUUCACACGAGAUUGAGCAAUAACAGGUCUGUGA